rnacentral:rRNA from 1 species
CCUCGUUAGGUAGGAAUACCCGUUGACUUAAGCUAUAUAAGCGAGGAUC